rnacentral:tRNA from 1 species
GAGAGAGGCUCGAUAGCAAGGAAAGCUGCUAACUUUUCCACACCCCGGUUUGACCCCAGGGCUCGCUCG